UAUUCAAUCCUACACGUUAUUGUACUACAGUACAGUAGGUGGCGGUAUACUGUAGUAUGCUGUUCAUGUCCGCAUCGUCAUACGCGCCAGCACCCCUGAAAGACUGCAGGAACAGAAACCCCUGGAAAGAUGAGUUCCCUAUUAAAGAGAGGCUUGAUGCUGUUUACUCCACACUCUUAGGCUGAUUUUGGAUUAUUUGUCUGUGAAGACACAGUAGUUCAGUUUCUGAAUCCCAUCAAGAAUGAAGACCUGCAGGCCACCAUAUUGAGCUGCAGGGUCUGAUGUCAUAAUAUGGCGCUUUUCCAAUGUAGGGUACAACUUGGCUCGGCACAAUGCAGCUCAUACCGCUUUCAUUGCUUUUCCAGUACAGUUUAGUAUCGCUUCAGAGUGGGUGAGAUUAUAGGCAGGGGUGCACAUAAGGGUGUGUAUGCGCGAUUAGAAACAAUUCCAGCGUACCAACGUUGCUGAAAUUUUGUUACAUAGUUAGCUAAUUUACUGCAACAUAAGGGAUUUCAUAACAUCUCGAUCACUCCCCAGUGACUGGUCCCAGUAUA